AACGAACGCUGGCGGCAUGCCUAACACAUGCAAGUCGAACGAGACCUUCGGGUCUAGUGGCGCACGGGUGCGUAACGCGUGGGAACCUGCCCUUAGGUUCGGAAUAACUCCCCGAAAGGGGUGCUAAUACCGGAUAAUGUCUUCGGACCAAAGAUUUAUCGCCUUUGGAUGGGCCCGCGUUGGAUUAGCUAGUUGGUAGGGUAAAAGCCUACCAAGGCGACGAUCCAUAGCUGGUCUGAGAGGAUGAUCAGCCACACUGGGACUGAGACACGGCCCAGACUCCUACGGGAGGCAGCAGUGGGGAAUAUGGGACAAUGGGCGAAAGCCUGAUCCAGCAAGGCCGCGUGAGUGAUGAAGGCCUUAGGGUGGUAAAGCUCUUUUACCCGGGAUGAUAAUGACAGGACCGGGAGAAUAAGCUCCGGCUAACUCCGU
rnacentral:rRNA from 1 species